rnacentral:rRNA from 1 species
UAUUGCACAAUGGGCGAAAGCCUGAUGCAGCGACGCCGCGUGAGGGAUGACGGCCUUCGGGUUGUAAACCUCUUUCGGUAGGGACGAAGCGUGAGUGACGGUACCUUCAGAAGAAGCACCGGCCAACCACGUGCCAGCAGCCGCGGUAAUACGUAGGGUGCGAGCGUUGUCCGGAAUUACUGGGCGUAAAGAGCUCGUAGGCGGUUUGUCGCGUCGUCUGUGAAAUCCCGCAGCUCAACUGCGGGCGUGCAGGCGAUACGGGCAGACUUGAGUACUGCAGGGGAGACUGGAAUUCCUGGUGUAGCGGUGAAAUGCGCAGAUAUCAGGAGGAACACCGGUGGCGAAGGCGGGUCUCUGGGCAGUAACUGACGCUGAGGAGCGAAAGCGUGGGUAGCGAACAG